CACGUAGGGUGCGAGCGUUGUCCGGAAUUAUUGGGCGUAAAGAGCUCGUAGGCGGUGUGUCGCGUCGGCCGUGAAAACCUGCAGCUUAACUGUGGGCUUGCGGUCGAUACGGGCAUCACUGGAGUUCGGCAGGGGAGACUGGAAUUCCUGGUGUAGCGGUGAAAUGCGCAGAGUAUCAGGAAGAACACCCGUGGCGAAGGCGGCUCUCUGGGACGGUACUGACGCUGAGACGCGAAAGCGUGGGGAGCGAACAGG
rnacentral:rRNA from 1 species